ACAGAUGUGAGCCACCACGCCUGGCCAACUCUGCUUAUCUUUAAAUAUGAUUGGAUAAAUCAAAGUCAGUUUGCCAAAAUGUCUUAAGUUUUCAAUUUCAGUCAAUGCAGUAAAUGUUUUGGGGAGUCUGCAGUGUAUCGGGCACUGGCUCAAGCACUAUCAUUUUACCAAUGCCCUUUGGACACUAGUUAUUCUUGCAAAAGGUAUAGAGUUCUUUUUAAGUAUUUACCAUUACUGAUACUUCCAUAAUAUAAUGUCUUUUUUCAUUAUAUCUUAAUUUUUUUGCUGGUAUCUGGGAAAAUUGUUUAAAUGUUUUUCUUACCACUUCAUUGAAAAAUUUUGUUAAUUCUAACUUUAAAAUCUCAAUUUCUGCCCUUUGUGGCAUAAUACUGUCAUUUGCGAAUUUUUCUCUUUAUUUGCAAUAUCUAUAUCUCUGAAUAAAAUUUCUAAGCACUUUGUAACUCAGUGGAGACUUUUAAUUCAAAUUAUAAAAAGUGCCAAAAAUUUACUUUAUUUCCAUUAGAACUAAUAUGAUACAUUUGGGUAUGUGGAUGCAUAAUAUGUAAUGAUGAAGUGUGUUCUUUGUAGAUGGCUGCAGCAGUUUAACAGAAUUCAAUUUUAUUUCUUACCAGAGAAGCAUAUAUUCCAGCAUGCAUGGGGAUUUUCUGCUGGAAGGUAGUAACUCCACAGCCCCACUGGGAUCAGAGGCUCACAGCUCUGACAGCUUGAAGAGAUUGCUGUAAUUAUAAGAAUGGAAAUAGUACUGAUUAUCAAGAGCUCGUUAGUGCAUAGUACGGAGAUGAUAUCAUCUUUUGAAAAGUCUUAAGAGGCUGCAAUCUGGCUUUCAUUUGCAAAUUUCUGUUCCCACCCUUAGUUUUUCUUUGUUCAUAUUUUGAGAGGAUAAACAAGCACUUUUUUUUGCAUUGAAAUAUGAACUAUUCCCAAGAGAAGAUGCUCCUCUAGGGGAAAUGCACUGGCCCUACCUGGGCCGAUGGAGAAUGACAUUGAAUGAGAAGUUGGCUGCUGCCAUCAGUGGAGAUGAUGCCAGAAGAACGAAAAGACCUGGACCUUGCUUCUAUCCACCCAGCUACCCAUCCUCCUUCCUCAUUCUUAUUUCCCCAAUAUUUUUCCCCCUCUGGAAAUAGGGGAGGCCUCUGAUGUGCCCUCAGUCAUACUUCUCUAUUUCUCUAGUCUUCUUAUUUUAAAAUUAGUAUACUAAUAUUUAUAAAGCUGUCAUGAAUACUUAUAAUUAAUAUCAAAUUUAUUAAUCAAUAAACAUGAUAUAAUUAAUUAUAUUAAUUUAUAAAUAAUAACUUAUAAACAUGCUAAUAUACAUAAAGACAUAAUGAAUGUAUGUUUUUUAUUUGUAUAAAUUUAAGGGGUAUAAGUGUAGUUUUGUUUCAUGGAUAUAUUGUAUAGUGUUGAAGUCUGGGCUUUUAGUAAAACCAUCACCUGUGUUAUGUACAUUGUAUGCAUUAAGAAAUUUGUCAUCCUUCA
rnacentral:lncRNA from 1 species